rnacentral:rRNA from 1 species
ACGUAGGGUGCAAGCGUUGUCCGGAAUUAUUGGGCGUAAAGAGCUCGUAGGCGGUUCGUCGCGUCGGCUGUGAAAUCCCGAGGCUCAACCUCGGGUCUGCAGUCGAUACGGGCGGACUGGAGUUCGGCAGGGGAGACUGGAAUUCCUGGUGUAGCGGUGAAAUGCGUAGAUAUCAGGAGGAACACCGGUGGCGAAGGCGGCCCUCUGGACGGUGACUGACGCUGAGACGCGAAAGCGUGGGGAGCAAACAGGA